UAAGGAGACUGCCGGUGACAAACCGGAGGAAGGUGGGGAUGACGUCAAGUCCUCAUGGCCCUUAUGGCUAGGGGCUUCACACGUCAUACAAUGGUCGGGACAGAGGGUUGCCAACCCGCGAGGGGGAGCCAAUCUCAGAAAACCGAUCGUAGUCCGGAUCGCAGUCUGCAACUCGACUGCGUGAAGUCGGAAUCGCUAGUAAUCGCGAAUCAGCAUGUCGCGGUGAAUACGUUCCCGGGCCUUGUACACACCGCCACGUCACUGCCUGGUAGUGGGGGACAACAGAAGUAAAGGAUCGCUAAUACCGCAUACGUCCUUCGGGAGAAAGCAGGGGACCUUCGGGCCUUGCACUAUCAGAUCAGCCUAUGUCGGAUUAGCUAGUUGGUGGGGUAAUGGCUCACCAAGGCGACGAUCCGUAACUGGUUUGAAAGGAAGACCAGCCACACUGGAACUGAAACACGGUCCAGACUCCUACGGGAGGCAGCAUUGGGGAAUUUUGGACAAUGGGGGAAACCCUGAUCCAGCCAUCCCGCGUGUGG
rnacentral:rRNA from 1 species